UUAACACAAAUUUGUAUGGAGUUAGAACGUUUGCUUACAUUCGCCGUUAAGAGCGCCGUUCCAACUGCAUACAAAUUUGAGUUA
rfam:Bombyx mori DNA, contig: Bm_scaf196_contig41396, strain: p50T/Dazao, build 2, whole genome shotgun sequence.